ACUUAAUAAAUAUUAAAUGUGCAGAACCAGAAAUGCCAAAAGAAAAAGAGAAGCCCACUCUAACAGUUAAAAAAGCAGAAGUGACAAAAGAAAAAGCCAAGUCUACUCGAGCUGCUAAACAAGCAGAAGUGCCGAAAGAAAAGGCCAGGCCUACUCCAGGGGUUAAAAAACCAGAGGAGGAAACCCAUCCUGAAAAGAAAGAACCCAAGAUCCUGAAAGAGGAACCCAAACCUAUUAAGAAAGAACCAAAGAUUCUGAAGGAGCUCAAACCUAUAAAGAAAGUACCCAAGAUUCCUAAGGAGGGAUCCAAACCUAUAAAGAAAGAACUUAAAAUGCCAAAAGAAGAACCCAAACCAAUAAAGGAAGAACCAGAGAUUCCAAAGGAGGAACCUAAACCUACAAAGAAAGAACCAGAGAUUUCAAAGGAGGAAUCCAAACCUAUAAAGACAGAACCCAAGGUUCCAAAGGAGGAAACCCCACCUUCAAAGAAAGGUAUUUCACAUAUCAUGCAUCUGGAAACAUAA
rnacentral:lncRNA from 1 species